rnacentral:rRNA from 1 species
CAGCCGCCGCGGUAAUACGUAGGGCGCGAGCGUUAAUCGGAAUUACUGGGCGUAAAGCGUGCGCAGGCGGUUCGUUAAGACAGAUGUGAAAUCCCCGGGCUUAACCUGGGAACUGCAUUUGUGACUGGCGAGCUAGAGUAUGGCAGAGGGGGGUAGAAUUCCACGUGUAGCAGCGAAAUGCGUAGAGAUGUGGAGGAAUACCGAUGGCGAAGGCAGCCCCCUGGGCCAAUACUGACGCUCAUGCACGAAAGCGUGGGGAGCAAACAGGAUUAGAUACCCGAGUAGUCCCUGUCUCUUAUAC